UACAGAGGGUGCAAGCGUUGUUCGGAAUUAUUGGGCGUAAAGAGCUCGUAGGCGGUUUGUCGCGUCUGCUGUGAAAUCUGGGGGCUCAACCCCCAGCCUGCAGUGGGUACGGGCAGACUAGAGUGCGGUAGGGGAGAUUGGAAUUCCUGGUGUAGCGGUGGAAUGCGCAGAUAUCAGGAGGAACACCGAUGGCGAAGGCAGAUCUCUGGGCCGUAACUGACGCUGAGGAGCGAAAGCGUGGGGAGCGAACAGG
rnacentral:rRNA from 1 species